UGGGGAAUAUUGGACAAUGGGGGCAACCCUGAUCCAGCCAUGCCGCGUGAGUGAAGAAGGCCUUCGGGUUGUAAAGCUCUUUUAGUCGGAAAGAAAGAGUUGCAAUGAAUAAUUGUGAUUUAUGACGGUACCGACAGAAAAAGCACCGGCUAACUACGUGCCAGCAGCCGCGGUAAUACGUAGGGUGCGAGCGUUAAUCGGAAUUACUGGGCGUAAAGGGUGCGCAGGCGGUCUUGCAAGUCAGAUGUGAAAGCCCCGGGCUUAACCUGGGAAUUGCGUUUGAAACUACAAGACUAGAGUGCAGCAGAGGGGAGUGGAAUUCCAUGUGUAGCAGUGAAAUGCGUAGAGAUGUGGAAGAACACCGAUGGCGAAGGCAGCUCCCUGGGUUGACACUGACGCUCAUGCACGAAAGCGUGGGGAGCAAACA
rnacentral:rRNA from 1 species